CGCGAGCUGGCCGACGGUGCGGCCGCGCUCGCCUUCGACGCGGGCGCGCGGCAGGCCCGUUUCGACGACGCAGCGCUCGA
rnacentral:tRNA from 1 species